GUUGUAGCUCAGUUGGUUAGAGCGCCAGGUUGUGGCCCUGGAGGUCGUGGGUUCGAAUCCCAUCAG
rnacentral:tRNA from 1 species